GUGUUUUGGCUAAACAUAUACUAAACUUGGGAUGAUACAGAGAACAUUAGCAUGGCCACUUGCCAAGGAUGACACACACAUUUGUGAAGCAUUCCAUAUUUGU